rnacentral:rRNA from 1 species
GACGAACGCUGGCGGCGUGCUUAACACAUGCAAGUCGAACGGAAAGGCCCUGCUUUUGUGGGGUGCUCGAGUGGCGAACGGGUGAGUAACACGUGAGUAACCUGCCCUUGACUUUGGGAUAACUUCAGGAAACUGGGGCUAAUACCGGAUAGGAGCUCCUGCUGCAUGGUGGGGGUUGGAAAGUUUCGGCGGUUGGGGAUGGACUCGCGGCUUAUCAGCUUGUUGGUGGGGUAGUUGCUUACCAAGGCUUUGACGGGUAGCCGGCCUGAGAGGGUGACCGGCCACAUUGGGACUGAGAUACGGACCAGAAUCCUACGGGAGGCAGCAGUGGGGAAUAUUGCACAAUGGGCGGAAGCCUGAUGCAGCAACGCCGCGUGCGGGAUGACGGCCUUCGGGUUGUAAACCGCUUUCGCCUGUGACGAAGCGUGAGUGACGGUAAUGGGUAAAGAAGCACCGGCUAACUACGUG